GUCAUCACACCACUAUACCCAACGACAGCUUGUCCUCAAGCGUAAACUUAAGGUUGCUUGUCCUCAAGUUCAAGAACACAAUUCCAAGUAAGAUGCUAGUAUACACAUUUUCACAAAAGAUACAUGAGAAUGAAGCUUUAAAAAUUGAGUGACCUUUAGUAAGUGCAAACAAGAAAUAUAGAAAAUGCCAAGAUGUGGGGUUUUACAGUUUAU
rnacentral:lncRNA from 1 species